rnacentral:lncRNA from 1 species
GGGAUGAGAGUCGAGGGUUCCGGAGGGGCUGCGCUCUCGCCGGUGACAGAGGCGGCGCUUCGCCGAAGAAGAAGGGAGUGACGCCUGUAUCGGGCUUGUGUCUGUGUGCGUGUUUCAUUUUGGGGAGGAAAGAGAGAUCCGAUUGAAAAAAAAAGGGGGAGGCGCGGCUGUUGAGGGAGAAAAAGGGGGGUGAAGUGUUAGGUUUGGGCUUGGGGUGUUGGGCCGAGAGUUGGGCUGGGUUAUUUCUUUAUGUUGGGCUGAAUUUCUAUUUUUAACUGGAUGGGCUGAUUUUUAUUUAGUAACUUGGGCUCAGUUUAUUUAAUUAAAACAGCUGGGCCUUGUUACUUGGAUUGUGCAGAUUUUUUUUUAUAAAAUGGACUGCAUUAUUUUAUUAAAUGGACUAUACUUAUAUUAAUUAAUUGAACUAUUAAAU